AGAAGUUAGUCUAAGGGCCACACUAUGAUAGUCAUGAGCCGAGAUAAGCUUGGUACUACCUCUUUGUCUCUUUGUUUCUUUGUUGUUGAAAAGUAAUGAAUAGUUUUUGAAUAUUGAGAAGUGAGUCUGUGGAAUAAAUCAGAGAUUGAUUUAUGAGUUAUUGAUUAUGUAAUUGGAGCACUAAGUGAUUGAAUUAUAUGGGAUAUUAGAAGGUUAUGAUUGUUGUUUAUUGAGAGCUGUGUGUAUUUUGACAUAGAAAGUCUGUUAUUUUUGGUGUUGGAUGGAAAUUAUGUGUUUUGAGCGGUCUUUUGAGAGUGCAGGAUUGCACACUAUUGUUAUCACUUGAUGAAGGAGUAUUGUUAUUGAGAGAAAGCAUUGUAAUAUUUUUUAGUGUUUUAGUGGUUCGGAAUAUGGUUAAUUGUGUGAUCCUAACAAGUAAAACUCAUGCACUUAGUCUUUCCAUGUGUUCAAAUUCCCCUAUACAUGUUUAUUCUGAACAGAAUUGUAGAAUAAGUAAAACAAUAAUCACACAUUCUUUAGAGUUUUUUUUAUAGAAGUUUUCUCAUAUUGUAUUUUAAAUUUGGAUUUGAAAUUUUGAAGAAAUUUUUUUCUUUAUA
rnacentral:lncRNA from 1 species